GACGAACGCUGGCGGCGUGCUUAACACAUGCAAGUCGAACGGACAGGCCCUGCUUUUGUGGGGUGCUCGAGUGGCGAACGGGUGAGUAACACGUGAGUAACCUGCCCUUGUCUGUGGGGUAACUUUAGGAAACUGGGGCUAAUACCGGAUAGGAGAUCCUGCUGCAUAGUGUGGGUUGGAAAGAUUCGGCUGUUGGGGAUGGACUCGCGGCUUAUCAGCUUGUUGGUGGGGUAGUGGCUUACAAACGCUGUGACGGGUAGCCGGCGUGAGAGGGUGGCCGGGCACAUUGGUACUGAGAUACGGACCAGACUGCUACGGGAGGCAGUAGUGGGGAAUAUUGCACAGUGGGGGGGAGCCUGAUGCAGCAACGCCGCGUGCGGGAUGACGGCCUUCGGGUUGUAAACCGCUGUCGCCUGAGACGAAGCGUGAGUGACGGUAAUGGGUAAAGAAGCACCGGCUAACUACGUG
rnacentral:rRNA from 1 species